rfam:Cicer arietinum chromosome Ca2, whole genome shotgun sequence.
AGGUCAUAUAUACAGCCAAGGAUGACUUGCCGGCGUGCUUCUUUUGGUAAUUUUAAGACCUACUAAUCAUUUGGAUAACCAAAGCUCUUAAACUCGCUUUGCACUAAAAGAACAUGUCUUGUUAUUUUUGUGCAAACUGAGUUUAGAGACCUUACAAUGGCUACCAAAAGAUUGUAGGUUCUAAUGUGACUAAUUGACCGGCAAGUCGUCUUUGGCUAUAUAAAGGCCUCC